CAGAUGUGUAUAAGAGACAGGUGAAUCAUCGAAUCUUUGAACGCACAUUGCGCCCUUCGGUAUUCCGUUGGGCAUGCCUGUUCGAGCGUCAUUUAAACCUUCAAGCUAUGCUUGGUGUUGGGUGUUUGUUCCGCCUCAGCGCGUGGACUCGCCUCAAAUUCAUUGGCAGCCGGUAUGUUGGCUUCGUGCGCAGCACAUUGCAAGCGAUUUCAGCAGACCCCCUUCCACAAGCCUUUUUUUACUUUGACCUCGGAUCAGGUAGGGAUACCCGCUGAACUUAAGCAUAUCAAUAAGCGGAGG
rnacentral:misc_RNA from 1 species